GGGGCGUGAGGCGCUGCUCCCCGCGCGGGGCCCGGGCGGAGGGAGCGCUGCUGGCGGAUCGUGGCGAGCCUGCAAUGAGUGACAGGGCGAUCCAGCGCCGCACCGAGCUAACUAGGUCACUGCCAGCACUUAAUUACUGUUUGUUUCAUUUUAGUGCGUGCCUUAUGAAUAAACCGGCUAUUAGGCUGAUGCUUCAAGUAACACUAUCCAGCACCCAGAGCAGAUUCAUGUGAGUUUUUGCAAUCAGGAGAAAAAAAAAAAGCAUUCAAGAAAAGGAACACUGCACCUUACGUACAGAGUCUACUUAUCAACAGUUAAAUCACCUUGCAGAGUGAGGCUCCUGGUUUAUGUGCUGUGCAACGUGGGGGCGGGACCCACGAGUUUAAAAGCAGAGGCAAGGAUGCAAAACAUUUCUAUUGCAAUGAAAGAUGGAGUUGAUGAGUACCUUGCAAGACUGGGCCACCACUACUUCAAGGAUGAUCCCACAUUCUGGGGACCUCAGGAAAUGCACCAAUGCAGUCUACUCAGUGACUUGCUAAAUAAAUAAGUGCUAAAUCACAUCAACCUCUGCAAGAAGUCAGGAAAAAAUGGAAAAUGUGUCGCUGCUGUCAUCCCAAGUUUUGUUUGCAUUUAUUUACAUUAAAGCUCUUGUUUCUGUAGGACUUUUGAGGCUGAUUUUGUUCUUGUCUCUUCUGGGUUUCAAGAAUAUAUUGUAAGCACUACGUCAAGUCUCAGUGUUGCUUGUAUUACAUCUACAUACUGCAAAAUCAUGUGGUCUGAAUUAUGCUCCUAGGAAAGCAUAUUAGCA
rnacentral:lncRNA from 1 species